GCUCUGAAGAGGUUAGAUUUUGGAGUGUGCGCUUGGCACAGCCCCGAGAGC
rnacentral:snoRNA from 1 species